rnacentral:misc_RNA from 2 species
GUACUCUCACACUUCUCAUCCUUUGGAUUUGGAGCGGUGGACUUGGGUGUUGCCGCUUUACGGUGGCUCACCUCUAAUGCAUUCGUGCAACUCUUGGUUGGACAUAGUACGGCGUGAUAAGUGUCUUCGCCGGCACCUCACCAGAGGGUGGCUGAUCAGGAGCUCUGUGCUGCAAACCGUCCUUGGACAAUGGCUGACA